CAUGUACUCCCUCAGUUUGGAAUUACUUGUCCCGGAUAUGGAUGCAUCUAGAACUAAAAUACAUCUAGAUACAUCCAUUUCUGCGACAAGUAAUUUCGAACGGAGGGAGUAUGAU
rfam:Triticum urartu cultivar G1812 contig866382, whole genome shotgun sequence.